CCUACGGGUGGCAGCAGUGAGGAAUAUUGGUCAAUGGACGCAAGUCUGAACCAGCCAUGCCGCGUGAAGGAAGACGGCCCUAUGAGUUGUAAACUGCUUUUGUACGAGGGUAAACGCAGAUACGCGUACCUGUCUGAAAGUAUUGUACGAAUAAGGAUCGGCUAACUCCGUGCCAGCAGCCGCGGUAAUACGGAGGAUUCAAGCGUUAUCCGGAUUUAUUGGGUUUAAGGGGUGCGUAGGCGGUCGGAUAAGUUAGAGGUGAAAGCCCGAGGCUCAACUUCGGAAUUGCAUCUGAUACUGGCCGGCUAGAGAGUAGUUGAGGUAGGCGGAAUGCAUGGUGUAGCGGUGAAAUGCUUAGAGAUCAUGAAGAACACCGAUUGCGAAGGCAGCUUACCAAGCUACUACUGACGUUGAGGCACGAAAGCGUGGGGAGCAAACAGGAUUAGAUACCCUUGUAGUC
rnacentral:rRNA from 1 species